AGUGAACGCUGGCGGUAGGCCUAACACAUGCCAGUCGAACGGCCGCACAGUAAGAGCUUGCUCUUACGGGUGGCGAGUGGCGGACGGGUGAGGAAUACAUCGGAAUCUACUUUUUCGUGGGGGAUAACGUAGGGAAACUUACGCUAAUACCGCAUACGACCUACGGGUGAAAGCAGGGGAUCUUCGGACCUUGCGCGAUUGAAUGAGCCGAUGUCGGAUUAGCUAGUUGGCGGGGUAAAGGCCCACCAAGGCGACGAUCCGUAGCUGGUCUGAGAGGAUGAUCAGCCACACUGGAACUGAGACACGGUCCAGACUCCUACGGGAGGCAGCAGUGGGGAAUAUUGGACAAUGGGCGCAAGCCUGAUCCAGCCAUACCGCGUGGGUGAAGAAGGCCUUCGGGUUGUAAAGCCCUUUUGUUGGGAAAGAAAAGCAGCAGGUUAAUACCCCGCUGUUCUGACGGUACCCAAAGAAUAAGCACCGGCUAACUUCGUG
rnacentral:rRNA from 1 species